UACGUAGGGGGCAAGCGUUGUCCGGAAUUAUUGGGCGUAAAGCGCGCGCAGGCGGCUUUGUAAGUCUGUCGUUUAAGUUCGGGGCUCAACCCCGUAUCGCGAUGGAAACUGCAAGGCUUGAGUACAGAAGAGGAAAGUGGAAUUCCACGUGUAGCGGUGAAAUGCGUAGAGAUGUGGAGGAACACCAGUGGCGAAGGCGACUUCUGGGCUGUAACUGACGCUGGAGGCGCGAAAGCGUGGGGAGCAAACAGG
rnacentral:rRNA from 1 species